UGACUGACCUUCCCUUUGUACUUCUACUUACCGCAGUAAAUAUUCAGUGAACACCUGCAGCGUGCUAAGGAGGGGGAUGGAGUAGUAAAAUGGGCACAAUAGGUCAAAUAGACCCCAGUGUGGUGGGGACCGUGAGGUCUGGUAGGAAUAGGAGGUCAAUUGCUGGGGUGCAACAGCUUGUGAGGCUCCAUGUAGGAAGCAGGUCUGCCAAGCCGUCCAAAUCCUGCCCAGCAGACCCCUCUGUACCAGAAAUGCAACUACUCCAAUCCUAUCGCCUCUCCCGUGGCUAAAUCAAAGUAGAUGGAGCCGGGCAGUGGUGGUGCAUACCUUUAAUCCCAGCACCCAGGGGUGAGGGUGGAAGUCUUGGUCUCUUGAGUUUGAGGCCAGCCUGGUUUACAGAGCAAGUUCCAGGGCAGCCAGGAAUAUACAGAGAAACCCUGUCUUGAAAAACCAGAACCAAAACCAAAAAAAAAAAAAAAGUAGAUGGGCCUGGACAGUGACCUGUGGCCUCAGGGAAAGUCUUCUGAGAGACUCCUCCUUGUCAUCUCAACAGGUACACAGGGGUCUGGCUCUUACUGCUGCUAGCCUAGGUCUGUUGUGGUUACAUGUAUGUUACAAGGCUGCAAACCUCUGUCCUGCCAGAUACUGCAGUCCCAGAUUCCUAAACCCUGUAAUCUGAAGCCCAGCACUUUUGCUCCCACCAUGACUACCAGGCUCCCUGAUAGACACGUACACAAAAGCUGCAGCCUGUCCCUUGACCUGUUCCAUGUAUUGCUGUCCCUCUAAGUUUGAAGAUGGUGGCCAUGUGUUAGACUAUAUGCUGAGAGCGGGAUACCCAACCAGCCUCUGCCCCACCCUCCGGUUCCUGUGCCUCUUCUGAGUUUUGGAGGGUGUGCAGGGGGUUUUCAGCAAGAUAUGGAAAAUGAACCUUCUGGGACACUGCUUGGCUGGUGAUCAUCACUUUACUGUCUGUGAUGACUUUCUUUUGCCCCCCGCCACCCGUGAGCCCUGGUGUGCACAGCUUGCUGGCCAAGCCCCAUGUUCUGAUGAACAUAGG
rnacentral:lncRNA from 1 species